UAUGGAGUAAAAAUUACAAUGUUUUCUUAAGCAAUGUAGUGAACUAAAAGUAAAAGAAGACACAAAUAUGAAUAUAGUAUAGAUACCCCAAAAACUACUUAAGUAUUACUUUAAAGUAUUGUUACUUAAGUACUUUACACCACUGUUACUUUAAAAAAUAUGUUUUGUUAAUAUCACAGUUUACUUACAGUAUGUGACUUUACUUCCACCUUGAUACACUACCUCAUAUUUCCUCUCUCUGCUUCCUGAUUUCUGCUACCCUCUUCCUGUAGUCUGUCAACAUCUGUUCCUCUCAGACCAUUUGCAAACCCACAUGAUAAUUGCAAUAAUUCAAUAAUAUCUUAAAUAUACUUUUUGCAAUUACCAGCGGUUCCUGCCAGUUAGGCCCAACCUAAUCUGGAAUACCCAGAACAAAAUCUUGCAUGAACAUAACUCUCAUAACCUCUGUGCUCCCGACAGACGUAACAUGUUGGUUACAGAUCUUAGGACAGAUAUGCCCACCCAGAUCAGUCUUAUCUACACCUGCAAUUGGAGCACAUUACAAACCUAUGACAGCUAUAGGUAUGAUAGUGUAUAUGAAAAUGAUGCACCAUCACAGAAGGGUCAUAGGUGGGAGCUAUUGUUUCACCAUAAAAGGAGAGAGGGGAGACACAAAAUACAGUGUGUCACUCUCACACUCACUACUGUGGCAUUGCCUGAGUCAUUAUCUACAGCCAACAGCUCCUGUGUAUAUUUCUAAAAACAUUUUCGAGAGCAUGUGAAUAUAGUCGCCCCCGAAAGCAUUUCUCAUUUCCAUAUAUCCUGUUUCACAUCUCUCUCUGUAUUAUACAUAAUAACAGGUGGCAGGUUUAAAGAACUCUUAACCGUGAUCCAAUGAAUGUGCUGCUGGUGCCUUAUGUGUGAGUUAUGUAUUAUUAAUAAUAUCAUUAUUGUACUAUAUAAUAAAAUGUUAAAUAAUUGACUUUCAUAACAAUAUCCCUAGUUGUACUUUUGGUUGGAAUGACAAUGAACGACAUUUCUUGUCGUCUCUCUUGACCUACAGUUAACAGAUGCAGGUACGUUUCUCCCCUUCUCUUGCUUGUUUUGUCAUUCAACAUUAGGGAUGUACUUUUGUGAUUUGCAUGGUAAUCAAAGGCUGGGAAAUAAAUGUUGCGCUCUAAAGAAGGGAAUAAUCUUGCAUGUUGAAUUUGUUUUAGAACGGACACAAAUCGUAGUUUUUUCACUACGAUGUUGUCAUACCUAUCAUUCCUCAACUACCUCUCUCUUUCCUCAUCCUUCAAAGGAACAAGGAGAAACAGACAAACACUUGGAUUACCCAGAAGAAGCACCAGAUCUCAGAAGGUGAAGAUGAUUUGUGCUAUGCCACCUUGUCCCAUGCUGGUGCUCCUCCAUCCUACUCAGUCAAGUUUGAACAAGGCCAUGACUAUGCCACAGUGGUCAUAUACUGACCAGCAUUGCCGAACUGAAUGGACAUGAAAGGACUUCCAAAUGGAUAGAUUGCUUGACUUUAACACC
ensembl:lncRNA